rnacentral:rRNA from 1 species
GACGAACGCUGGCGGCGUGCUUAACACAUGCAAGUCGAGCGGUAAGGCCCUUUCGGGGGUGCACGAGCGGCGAACGGGUGAGUAACACGUGGGUGACCUGCCCUCAGCUCUGGGAUAAGCCUGGGAAACCGGGUCUAAUACCGGAUAUGACUCCAUGACGCAUGUUGUGGGGUGGAAAGCCUUGUGCGGCUGAGGAUGGGCCCGCGGCCUAUCAGCUUGUUGGUGGGGUGAGGCCUACCAAGGCGACGACGGGUAGCCGGCCUGAGAGGGCGACCGGCCACACUGGGACUGAGACACGGCCCAGACUCCUACGGGAGGCAGCAGUGGGGAAUAUUGGACAAUGGGCGCAAGCCUGAUCCAGCGAUGCCGCGUGUGUGAAGAAGGCCUGCGGGUUGUAAAGCUCUUUCGGACGGAACGAAAUGGUUAGGUCGAAUACGCCUGACUGAUGACGGUACCGUAAGAAGAAGCACCGGCUAACUACGUGCCAGCAGCCGCCGUAAG